rnacentral:rRNA from 1 species
UACGUAGGGUGCGAGCGUUAAUCGGAAUUACUGGGCGUAAAGCGUGCGCAGGCGGUUUUGUAAGCCAGAUGUGAAAUCCCCGGGCUUAACCUGGGAAUGGCAUUUGGGACUGCAAGGCUUGAGUGCGGCAGAGGAGACUGGAAUUCCUGGUGUAGCAGUGAAAUGCGUAGAUAUCAGGAGGAACACCUGCGGUGUAGACGGCUAUCUGGACGGUUACUGACGCUGAGACACGAAAGCGUGGGUAGCAAACAGG